rnacentral:rRNA from 1 species
ACGCACGCUGGCGGCGUGCUUCACCCAUGCCAGUUGCACGGAAAGGCCCUGCUUUUGUGGGGUGCUCGAGUGGCGAACGGGUGAGUAACACGUGAGUAACCUGCCCUUGACUUUGGGAUAACUUCAGGAAACUGGGGCUAAUACCGGAUAGGAGCUCCUGCUGCAUGGUGGGGGUUGGAAAGUUUCGGCGGUUGGGGAUGGACUCGCGGCUUAUCAGCUUGUUGGUGGGGUAGUGGCUUACCAAGGCUUUGACGGGUAGCCGGCCUGAGAGGGUGACCGGCCACAUUGGGACUGAGAUACGGCCCAGACUCCUACGGGAGGCAGCAGUGGGGAAUAUUGCACAAUGGGCGGAAGCCUGAUGCAGCAACGCCGCGUGCGGGAUGACGGCCUUCGGGUUGUAAACCGCUUUCGCCUGUGACGAAGCGUGAGUGACGGUAAUGGGUAAAGAAGCACCGGCUAACUACGUG